GACGAACCGUCCAAACGUUAUUCGGAAUUACUGGGCUUAAAGGGUGCGUAGGCGGCGCGGCAAGUUGGGUGUGAAAUCCCUCGGCUCAACCGAGGAAUUGCGCCCAAAACUGCCGUGCUCGAGGGAGACAGAGGUGAGCGGAACUGAUGGUGGAGCGGUGAAAUGCGUUGAUAUCAUCAGGAACACCAGUGGCGAAGGCGGCUCACUGGGUCUCUUCUGACGCUGAGGCACGAAAGCUAGGGGAGCAAACGGG
rnacentral:rRNA from 1 species